UAGCCAGUCUUUUUUUUUUUUGCGCCAUGGCCAGUCUCGUGCCCUCAAAUCCCCUCCCCCUGAUUUUCAGAAUUUCCGAAUUUAAUGCGCAGCGGCUCGGCGGCGACUGAGAGGAUUCGAUUCGGCAUCGGCGCCGGCGCCGGCGGGGCGAUGGGGGCCAGAGGGAUCGAUGAUUUCCCUGUGGAUCCGAUACGCAUCUGUAUUCUGUGGUGGCCGCGCGAGCUCAUCCAUGGUCCUUGACUCCCCCCGGCGGUGCGCCGUGUCUUUUUUCGUCGUGUGUGCAGGUUGCUGAUCUUCCAGGAGGCGCCGCGCGGGAGCGCGGUUGGGAGCAGGGGAGGAGAUGUGCUGCGGGAUUCAUCUGUGGCUCCGCACAACAACUGCGUGGAGUACGACGGCGAUGGGAGCAUGGAGAAUGGCCCAGCGGAGUCGGGGGAGUCGGCCGUCAAGCCGGCUCCACGGUCGCCGGACUGGAUGAAGAGUUCGUGCGGGCACUAUUCCUACAUAAAGAACACCCUGCCUGGGAAGGAUGGGGGCCCUCAAAAAAUCUAAAGGGGCUUUGCGGAGCGAGACAGAGAAGAGGUUGUCAAGCCAUAGUUAGGCACCACAUUUGACACGUUGACGGAAACGUACGACUUCUACAAUCUAUACUCAUGGGAACUUGGUUUCGGUAUAACGUAUGGCAAAAGCCGACUGAAUCCAGGCAAGCAGAAGACAAAUGCAAGAGAUAGUCUGUGGUUGCUCGGUAAGGAUGCAGAACUGAAAUGAAUUUAGACAAGAAAUACAGGUGAUAAAGAGCACACUGUCAGAUACAGUCCACCGGUGAUUUAAGUGGCACAUCUUGAAGGCUAAAGAAAGUUUGGGGGUUCUGCACGGGAAUAGAAAAUGAAUUUAGACAGGAGUUUCAUAAAGUCAUAAACCAUAUGCUCACAGUGGACGAGAUCGAUCGAGGAAGCGUGGUCUCAGCUACUGGAGAAGUACGACCUGAAGGCACACUCGUACAUGACGCAGAUUUUUGAGAUAAGAGAGAAGUGGGCGAAGUCAUAUUUCAAGGGAAUUUUCUGUGUGAAGAUGACAAGUACCUAGAGGAGUGAGAGUGUGAACCAUAUGCUGAAGAACUAUGUGCCCUCCGGCUCUCCAAUGCAUAAGUUUGUUAGGCAGUACAUGCUGUUGCAGUUUGAUCGUCAAUCAGAUGAGAGUUAUGAAGAGAAGAAAACUAAAAUCGUAAGUGCAGCUUCAUUGAGAAAGAAACGGUAGAGACAUGAGAAGUGGAGCUAGGUGGUUUUCCUAGUAAAAAUGACCGGUAAUGGUUCAGAGUUUGGGUGAGAAUGCGGGCUUUUUGAGCACAUAGGUGUCUUGUCAUAUACUUCAGGUGAUGGAUUCCUUGGCAUGACAAAGGUGUCGGAUAAGCACAUUGUGAGAAGGUGGACCAACGAUGGUCGAGACAUACUGCCAGAGCACUUGCAUCACUACCAGUGCGAUCAGCUUGGUGCCACGCCUCUGACAUGUAUGUGCAGGCAUUAGAGUUGAUCCGGUUGGGAGACGCCAGUGUGGAAGCUUAACACUGAUGGGACUCUUCAAUAAAGCUAUGAAGGCGAUGGCUCCUUUCGACCAGGCGAGGAAUGGGCUGGGACAGGAGGAUCGUGUCAGUGGCAAGAAGCAAGGCAAUGUCGAUGAAAAAGAAACCAAGGCUGGCGAGGAUGAGUAUGUUGUGCUGCCGGGGCAUAGCAAUCCUUUGGUUGGCCUGGGAGCGCCGUCGAAGAAGAAAAGUGCAGGGAGGCCGACAAACGCAAGAGGCCAGGCACCUUACGAAGGAAUGAGUAAGAGUAGAUUCUGUUGCAUCUGCAAAAUUCAAGGCCACAAACGAACAACUUGCCCACAUAGAGGAGACGUUCCCAAAGUUCAGAGGAAAGAAGCAAAACUGCAGCAAGUGUGGUGUCACUGGCCAUCAGAAGAACACCAUGCGACAGGCCAGCGGGAAAAGUUGUUCAGGGUGUACUGUUGUACUAGCAUAUUAGGACCAAAAGUGGUUGUAGAAUGCACAUGUCGUGCGUGUGAUGUGAACGUUAAUGAACUAUUAUCAUGGUGAUAAGAUAACUAAAUCUGUUA